UACGUACUGUGCGAGCGUUAUUCGGAAUCACUGGGCUUAAAGGGUGAGUAGGCGGCCUUUCAGGUCAGGGGUGAAAUACCACGGCUCAACCGUGGUGCUGCCCCUGAAACCGUUAGGCUUGAGUUUGCCAGGGGCGCGCGGAACUGCCAGUGGAGCGGUGAAAUGUGUUGAGAUUGGCAGGAACACCGGAGCCGAAAGGGGCGCGCUGGGGCGAGUCUGACGCUGAAUCACGAAAGCCAGGGUAGCGAACGGG
rnacentral:rRNA from 1 species